rnacentral:lncRNA from 1 species
UGAUUCUCCUGCCUCAGUCUCCCGAGUAGCUGGGAUUACAGAUGAGAAAAUGGAGUCUUGGAAGGCAAAGUGACACCAUGCUGGAAGAAGAGCAGAGAGGAAUUGGAACCCACUCAGGACCUUGGAAAUCUUCAUCUUUCUGGAAGGGCCAACCAGGCAUUCAUCCUUGGCCUCCACUGGCUCCUUCUCUGUCUCCAAAGAUUUUAAAUAACGUGGCAGGCAAGGCUGCCUGAAGGCUGGGACAAGCGAUGGUCCCUGGGCUCCUCCCCAGAGCUCGACUUCUCCUACGCUGGAGCUGUCUCCACAGGCCCCCCUGUGUACAGUGCAGGAUUGGAAGGAGCACUGGACGGGGAGUCAGUGGAGCAGAUCAUUGAACCUCCUGAUCCGUGGAAGGUGGCUGCUUGCAAAGUUCUGAUGACAUCACAUGGAUGUGUGUUGGCCGGGUAUUCCCUGGGGAAUGAGCUUAGCGCGGAAGCAGAAGAGUUGCAUUUUCUAAACCACCAGCUAAGUGGCAGGUGCGUACACAUCAUCCUGUGUAAUCCCUAAGCUUGUCCCAUGUGGUAGCAAGUUCCUUUUAUUAUCUCCAUCUCCUGGAGGCUCAGAUUGGCAAAGGGGACAGAGCUUGCAAGCAUUCAG